UCCCAGGUGGCUCAGUAGUAAAGAAUCAGCCUGCCAAGCAGGAGACCCAGGUUCCAUCCCUGGCUUGGGAA
rnacentral:tRNA from 1 species